CCUUAGUAAACAAACAUCCCUUCAAUUCUCUCUAUGACAAUUGUUGAUUUAUAUUCCUUAGUAAACAAACAUCCCUUCGAUUCUCUCUACGACAAGUGUUGAUUUAUAUUCCUUAGAAAACAAACAUCCUCUUGAUUCUCUCUACGACAAGUGUUGAUUUAUAUUCCUUAGAAAACAAACAUCCUCUUGAUUCUCUCUACGACAAGUGUUGAUUUAUAUUCCUUAGUAAACAAACAUCCCUUCAAUUCUCUCUACGACAAGUGUUGAUUUAUAUUCCUUAGUAAACAAACAUCCCUUCAAUUCUCUCUACGACAAGUGUUGAUUUAUAUUCCUUAGUAAACAAACAUCCCUUCAAUUCUCUCUAUGACAAUUGUUGAUUUAUAUUCCUUAGUAAACAAACAUCCCUUCGAUUCUCUCUACGACAAUUGUUGAUUUAUAUUCCUUAGUAAACAAACAUCCCUUUGAUUCUCUCUACGACAAUUGUUGAUUUAUAUUCCUUAGUAAACAAACAUCCCUUCGAUUCUCUCUACGACAAGUGUUGAUUUAUAUUCCUUAGUAAGCAAACAUCCCUUCAAUUCUCUCUACGACAAGUGUUGAUUUAUAUUCCUUAGAAAACAAACAUCCCUUCGAUUCUCUCUACGACAAGUGUUGAUUUAUAUUCCUUACAAAACAAACAUCCCUUCAAUUCUCUCUAUGACAAGUGUUGAUUUAUAUUCCUUAGUAAACAAACAUCCCUUCGAUUCUCUCUACGACAAGUGUUGAUUUAUAUUCCUUACAAAACUUAUUCCUUUGUUUAGGGAAAUUGUAUAAAUGAAUUAGAAUGUAGUGAAAAAAAUGACAGUUCCAUUCUGAUUCGCUCCUCUGAGAUGACCGUCUAUCAUCUCCUUCAGUCGCCUCAGUUCACUUCCCUCCGAUGACUACGUAAACAGUCUUCCAUUUCUAUAAGUUAUUGGUCGGUAUCAAAAAACACUAUCGCUGCUCACAUCACCUAUUUCUAGAGGUCAAAGAGGGGGUCAGUCGGGUUCUAAUGAGUGUUUCUUCAGGUUGAUGGUACAGAGGAAGGGUCACACUACCACCGGGGUCAUAAAACUACUCCUGGAAAUGCCCACAACUCCUAUGAAAGCCUUGUCAAAUAGGUGUUUUUGGACGGCGAAAUUUCUUAUAAUACGACCCAAAGAUACAGAUGACUGGCAACAAGUACGGAGGAAACGACAACAAAACAAAAAAAGGCUAAUUCUCCCUCGAUUCACUCCUUUAUACGACUCUGUCAAUAUUCUUCAUUUCGGAAAGCAGUAAAUAGCGGGCUUUUUUUCAAUAUUGUUUUCUUUCCUUUACGCCCUUGCACUGUCUCCUUUGCUGUAAAAAAAAAAUUAAAUAAAUAAAUAAAAUAAAAGUGACUGAUGAGUUUUUGUGUUGAGUCGCAGCAACGCAAGGAAUGCAAGGAGACAGACGACACCCUCGGCAACACAACUUGGCAAACUAGAGCGCCGACAAACAUGGAAAACAAAUGAACAGAAUUAGACGAAACAUAAGUGUGUUUGACGAGCCCCAAACCCUCUCUCUCUCUCUCUCUCUCACACACACACACACACACACACACACACAACCGUUUAUAUGUACACUUGAUAGGCAUGUCCUUAGAGAGAGAGAGACCUAAUAGACAAAGAAAUGCAAACACAUGAACGAACACAAACACAACCCAUCCCUAACGCCCUCCAAAACACACACACACACACACACACAGUAAGAGUCCCUGAUGUGUUUAUGUACAAGAAGUAUCGUAAGUCUUGUGGUAUUGGCUUUCCUGAGAUGCUUACACACACACACACACACACACACACACACACACACACACCUAACUCCUCACUACCCUCGGCAUCCACGGCAUUUCCGCUAUCUACCAAAGUCUCUACCGCUGCUGUGCUCCUCUCUAAGUCCCUGCUAUGCCCCCUAAACCUCAUACACACCCUACCACAUAGUUCUAACACCCCACCCCCACCCCCCACCCCCCACAUACCCCCUUACAUGCAUCCCAGAGAAGUUGAGUGUUCGUGCGUUUCCGUAGGUUUUGUGUCUAGCGUACCAUGUCGGGUUGGCACUCACAUUGAUUCCUAUGCCAUGUUGUUCCUGCCUAUCCCACACACCAUGUCCUUCUUUCUGUGUGUCUGUAUCAUGUCACUGUUCCUGCGUGUCCCUAAUACCAUGUUCUUGUUCUCCUGUGUCCUGCUACUUGUCCUUCUAUUGAUUCCUAUGUCAUGUUGUUCCUGCCUAUCCCACACACCAUGUCCUCCUUUCUGUGUGUCUGUACCAUGUCACUGUUCCUGCGUGUCCCCAAUACCAUGUUCUUGUUCUCCUGUGUCCUGCUACUCAUGUUCCUCUAUUGAUUCCUAUGUCAUGUUGUUCCUGCAUAUCCCACACACCAUGUCCUUCUUUCUGUGUGUCUGUACCAUGUCACUGUUCCUGCGUGUCCCUAAUACCAUGUUCCUGUUCUCCUAUGUCCUGCACAGUGUUUUUGUUUCUGGUCGUAUCCCACACCAUGUCAUUGUUCCUGUGUGUUUGUUGGAGCUAGAAACAGUCUUGCGCACACACACACACACACACACACACACACACACAUUCAGCUCACUGUAUGUCUUUCUCAGUCCAUAUCGAUCUAGCUUUUCACAUUUCCAAGGCCUGAAAGUUUCCCUCACAUCUCUUUCAGUCUUCAUCUUAUCUUACUUUCUUCCUCAUUAUUUCCUGGGUCAAAGGAGUCUGUUUUUCUCACACUCUCAAGUUCAGAUCAACGUACAUUUUCACAGACCAACACAGGACACUCGUAGAACAUUAUGCUAAAGUUUGGGUUCUUGCUAUGUGGGGUUUUGUUGUGUUAAGUCAGUUACGUAGUGUUGAUCAGGGAAGGUGUCUGGUUAGCCCUCACAAUUCAUCGGGUUUUUGCACAUUCUCAAGUUCAAAUCAACGUACAUUUUCACACAGCAACACAGGACACUCGUAGAACAUUAUGCUAAAGUUUGGGUUCUUGCUAUGUGGGAUUUUGUUGUGUUAAUUCAGUUACGAAAUGCUGAUAAGGAAGGUAUCUGGUUAGCCCUCACAAUUCAUUGGGUUUUUGCACAUUCUCAAGUUCAGAUCAAUGUAUAUAUGCUGUAAUUUGGGUUCUUCCUAUGUAGGUUUUGUUUUGUUAAUUCAGUUAUGUAAUGUUGAUCAGGGAAGGUAUCUGGUUAGCCCUCACAAUUCAUCGGGUUUUUGCACAUUCUCAAGUUCAGAUCAACGUAUUUGUGCUAUAAUUUGGGUUCUUGCUAUGUAGGUUUUGUU